GACAGAGGGGGCAAGCGUUGCUCGGAAUCACUGGGCGUAAAGGGCGCGUAGGCGGGAUGGCAAGUCAGUCGUGAAAUCUCUCGGCUCAACCGAGAAACGUCGGCUGAUACUGCCGUUCUUGAGGGAUGCAGAGGAGACUGGAAUUCCCGGCGUAGCGGUGAAAUGUGUAGAGAUCGGGAGGAACACCGGUGGCGAAGGCGGGUCUCUGGGCAUCUCCUGACGCUGAGGCGCGAAAGCGUGGGGAGCAAACGGG
rnacentral:rRNA from 1 species